rnacentral:rRNA from 1 species
UACAGAGGGUGCGAGCGUUGUUCGGAAUUAUUGGGCGUAAAGGGCGCGUAGGCGGUGCGGUAAGUCACCUGUGAAAUCUCCUGGCUCAACUGGGAGCUUGCAGGCGAAACUGCCGUGCUGGAGUGUGGGAGAGGUGAGUGGAAUUCCCGGUGUAGCGGUGAAAUGCGUAGUUAUCGGGAGGAACACCUGUGGCGAAAGCGGCUCACUGGACCACAACUGACGCUGAGGCGCGAAAGCUAGGGGAGCAAACAGG